UCAAUACAGGUCUAGAGCCAUUUCAUGCAUAUUUAUAUCUGUGGUGGUAACCUACACUCCUCUCUGUGUCUGGUGGUAUUUCCUCUUGUUCACUCAUCAGAUCAGUUAGAUCAGUUGGCUCAGCUGCAGCUCAGCAUUGAUCCUCACGUUUAUAUUUGUUAUGACACGUCACCUUACAAACUGUCAACAUUUCUCAUUUCAGCAACACAUCAACUACGCCAAUCACUGGUUUGAACUAAACCUCUGUACCCACACUGAGAAGGAGUGGAUCCGCUGGUGGCAGCUAAACUGUCGUCAGCUGUCAUGAAUCUGGCAGUGGACAGGUGGGAGAAUGAAUGAAGCUGACCAGUUAUAAAAUCUACUAUCUGAGGGAGCAGUGAUGGACGCAGCAAAUAAAGACCACUUUCCCCUUCAGGAUCAACAUCGAGAGAGCAAGCAGACCUUAAGCUCUCUGCUCCUUUGCUCCUCACCCUGUCAACUUUAUCUGAGAGGUCUGAAUGUCAGAGCUGAGGUCUUUCUGAAGCAGGUGGAUCCAGUAGCAUUGUGUAAUGUCUACAUCACGGCAGCACAUCUGCAGCUGUUUGGCUGUGAGGAGGAAGGGGAUGUCCUCUGUCGUCAUGGAGACCG